rnacentral:rRNA from 1 species
GAUUAACGCUGGCGGCGUGCCUAACACAUGCAAGUCGAACGAGGUAGCAAUACCUAGUGGCAGACGGGUGAGUAACGCGUGGUCAACCUACCGUUGAGUGGGGGAUAACUAGCCGAAAGGUUAGCUAAUACCGCAUACGUCUCCGAGUGGCAUCACUUGGCGAUAAAAGGAGCAAUCCGCUCGAUGACGGGACCGCGUCCAUUAGCUAGAUGGGUGGGGUAACGCCUACCAUGGCACCGAUGGGGUAGCUGGUUUGAGAGAGCGACCAGCCACACUGGGACUGAGAAACGGCCCAGACUCCUACGGGAGGCAGCAGUGAGGAAUUUUCCGCAAUGGCGCAAGCCUGACGGAGCGACGCCGCGUGUGGGAAGAAGGCCUUCGGU